UACUUAGGUGGCAAGCGUUGUCCGGAUUUAUUGGGUUUAAAGGGUGCGUAUGUGGUCUAUUAAGUCAGUGCUGAAAUAUCCCGGCUUAACCGGGAGGGUGGCAUUGAUACUGAUGGACUUGAGUAAAGUUGAGGUGGGCGGAAUUGACGGUGUAGCGGUGAAAUGCUUAGAUAUCGUCAAGAACACCUAUUGCGAAGGCAGCUCACUAAGCUUUAACUGACACUGAGGCACGAAAGUGUGGGGAUCAAACAGG
rnacentral:rRNA from 1 species